AAUAAGGAAUUGCUGAGGUAGCAAGAGAAGAGAGUGUGGGCAGAAAAAAAAACACCAUCCCAAGCACCCUGCUGAAAUGGCCACUUUGGGAGCUCUAGGGACUUCAAAGAAACCUUGAUCCAUCAGAAUGGUGCGUGCAGUCUGCAGUCUAGAAGAUCCUGGAUGUUCUCAUAUCACCUCAUGCUGUAGGAAGAGUGGCCACGAGUGUCUGCUUUGGAGAAGGCCUUGGAUAAGUGGCGAAGAAAGGCCUGAAAAAUCCAAAGGGCAAGAGAUGUAGAGGGCAGGAGUCUACAAUGCUAUGGCAGAAGUUAAAGAGGAGAAAGUAUGCACUCUAGCAGUGGCGAAUACCACCACGGGCAGAGCCUUGAAGGCCUGGCAUUGUGUGCCCACCCGAGCUCAAGGACAAAGGCUUCACAGGCAGAAGAUGCGGAAUGGAGGGGAAUCAUGAGUAGGGUACCCUGGCAGUUAGAAAAGGCACAGUGGACAGGAGUCGCCAUUGGGGGGUACACUGGGCAGAGUCUCCCUUGAAUCAGUCAUUUUUUUGUAUUUUUUUCCAGGAUAGCAGCUAGGAUGAGGUAGGGACCCAGAAUUCAGUUGGGGAAGAUGAUGAACAUUUACGGCCUUUCUGACUCUGUUUAACAAAGACCAUAUUCUCUUCAUGGGUAACUCUCUAUGGUUAGCCACCCUUGUUAAACAAUUUUCAGGAGUUAGGCUCACAGUGUGGAAGCUAUCUGCAGCGCCCAAGCAAACAUCUGGUCUCGGAUCACCACGCUUAGUUUUAAUAGCAUGUUGUCUCAGUUGGGUGUGGUUUUGUUUUUUAUUGGACACAGUGUUUAGAACUAAGAACCAGGGCUUAUGCUUUAAAGACCUACAGGAAAAAAAAAAGUCCCUAAGACUUCUAUACUUUAGCAACUGAGGACAACUCAGUCUGGAGAACCCAAAGCCCAGAGCUAAAGCCAUCAGCUCCAUGGUCAUCAUUCCUGGUUUUAAGGACUAUUCUUUGCCCUCUUGUGUUGCUGCGGUAAAAUCUAAGAGACACUGUCCAGAGCUCCACCUGGUACCCCGGCUACCCUAUCAUUCUGACGCUCCAAGAAUCCCCGUUUUCUUUUGGCCACCCUUGUGUUCUCUGAGAUGCCUUGUCUGCCAUUUCAAGAUGGGAUCACUGUCCUUUGGAAACAGCACAACCAUUACUGUCUUAAAACCAAAGCAGCUUUGAGUACCCACACCAGCCCUCACAUUGGGCCUAUUAGCUUUGCCCUGUGAAAGGGAAAAGAAACUCAAAAGCCUCAUGAAGUGCUCACUAGACUCUGUGAGAUAGGAAUACUCUCUUCACCUGAAAUACCUAAGUGGUUAACAGUUUCUGGCGAAUGGAGAUAUUCCUAGGUGGAGUAGCUGCCCAUAAAUUUCUCAUGAUCCUGUAGGUAACUCUAAUAAAGUUAUUAUUAUUACCAAAUUGG
rnacentral:lncRNA from 1 species